rnacentral:rRNA from 1 species
GACGAACGCUGGCGGCGUGCCUAACACAUGCAAGUCGAACGGGACAGAGAGCUUCGGUUUUCUGUUUAGUGGCGAACGGGUGAGUAACGCGUGAGAAACCUGCCUCUCAGUGGGGGACAACAGUUGGAAACGACUGCUAAUACCGCAUAACAUUAUCGAAGGGCAUCCUUUGGUAAUCAAAGCUUUAUGUGCUGAGAGAUGGUCUCGCGUCUGAUUAGCUAGAUGGCGGGGUAACGGCCCACCAUGGCGACGAUCAGUAGCCGGUCUGAGAGGAUGAACGGCCACAUUGGGACUGAGAUACGGCCCAG